rnacentral:rRNA from 1 species
AACGAACGCUGGCGGCAUGCCUAACACAUGCAAGUCGAACGAGACCUUCGGGUCUAUUUGCGCACGUGUGCGUAACGCGUGGGAACCUGCCCUUAGGUUCGGAAUAACUCCCCGAAAGGGGUGCUAAUACCGGAUAAUGUCUUCCGACCAAAGAUUUCUCGCCUUUGGAUGGGCCCGCGUUGGAUUAGCUAGUUGGUAGGGUAAAAGCAUACCAAGGCGACGAUCCAUAGCUGGUCUGAGAGGAUGAUCAGCCACACUGGGACUGAGACACGGCCCAGACUCCUACGGGAGGGAGCAGUGGGGAAUAUUGGACAAUGGGCGAAAGCCUGAUCCAGCAAUGCCGCGUGAGUGAUGAAGGCCUUAGGGUUGUAAAGCUCUUUUACCCGGGAUGAUAAUGACAGUACCGGGAGAAUAAGCUCCGGCUAACUCCGUG